AGAGUUUGAUCAUGGCUCAGGAUGAACGCUGGCGGUCUGCUUAACACAUGCAAGUCGAACGGGCUCUUCGGAGCUAGUGGCGGACGGGUGAGGAACACGUGAGAAUCUGCCUACAGGUUCGGGACAACAGUUGGAAACGGCUGCUAAUACCGGAUAAGCCUAUCGGUGAAAGAUUAAUUGCCUGGAGAUGAGCUCGCGUCUGAUUAGCUAGUUGGUGGGGUAAAGGCCUACCAAGGCGACGAUCAGUAGCUGGUCUGAGAGGAUGAUCAGCCACACUGGGACUGAGACACGGCCCAGACUCCUACGGGAGGCAGCAGUGGGGAAUUUUCCGCAAUGGGCGAAAGCCUGACGGAGCAAGACCGCGUGAGGGAGGAAGGCUCUUGGGUUGUAAACCUCUUUUCUCAGGGAAUAACAAUGAAGGUACCUGAGGAAUCAGCAUCGGCUAACUCCGUGCCAGCCGCCGCGGUAAUAC
rnacentral:rRNA from 1 species